rnacentral:rRNA from 1 species
UUUCCAGACUCCUACGGGAGGCAGCAGUGAGGAAUAUUGGUCAAUGGCCGCAGGGCUGAACCAGCCAAGUCGCGUGAGGGAUGACGGUCCUAUGGAUUGUAAACCUCUUUUGUCAGGGAGCAAAGGGCGCCACGUGUGGCGUUUUGCGAGUACCUGAAGAAAAAGCAUCGGCUAACUCCGUGCCAGCAGCCGCGGUAAUACGGAGGAUGCGAGCGUUAUCCGGAUUUAUUGGGUUUAAAGGGGGCGCAGGCGGCACGGCAAGCCGGCGGUCAAAUCGCGGGGCUCAACCCCGCCCAGCCGUCGGAACUGCCGGGCUAGAGUGGGCGAGAAGUGCGCGGAAUGCGUGGUGUAGCGGUGAAAUGCAUAGAUAUCACGCAGAACUCCGAUUGCGAAGGCAGCGCACCGGCGCCCUACUGACGCUCAGGCGCGAAAGCGUGGGUAUCGAACAGGAUUAGAUACCCGGGUAA